rnacentral:rRNA from 1 species
AUGGAAGAGUUUCAUAAGGGUACUGUCCAACUAAAUCGUAUUAACAAAGCCUUCAUCGUGCUUCUUCCCAAAACAGUAGGUGCUACCUCUCCGGACAACUUCCGUCCGGUCUCCCUUCAAAAUUGCACCAUCAAGCUUACCUCCAAAUGCCUUACCUCUAGAGUCCAACCAUUUAUCUUCUCUAUCAUCCACCAGGAUCAAUAUGGAUUUAUCAAAGGUAGAAGCAUUGCGGAUAACUUUACGUAUGCCGCUGAUAUUGUUCAAACGUGCUUUAAGCGCAAAAAAGCAGCUAUUGUGCUUAAACUUGACUUCAAAAAAGCAUUUGACUCGGUCUCCUGGACCGCUCUGGGAGCUAUCAUGCUUGCCAAGGGCUUCCCCGAGAUUUGGUGCAAUUGGGUUGACAGCCUGAACCGUUCUAGUCAGUCGGCUGUUGUUCUGAAUGGCAAGCCUGGCCCUUGGAUCAACUGCAAACAGGGGCUACGACAGGGCGACUCGCUUUCUCCCUAUCUUUUCAUUAUUGUUGCUGAUGUCCUUCAGCGUCUGAUCUACCAGUCCUCCAAUGAUGGUAGGUUAGCUCACCUAAUUAAUCAGGAGCUUCCUUGCCCAGUUCUUCAGUACGCUGACGAUACGUUGAUCAUCUUGCCGGCGGAGGCUGCUCAACUUCAGACCUUAAAAGCUAUCCUGCUUCAAUUCUCUCAAGCCACGGGGUUGCAUAUCAACUUCCAUAAGAGCACGUUUGCCCCCAUCCACGUGCCUCCUGAGUUAGCCAACGAUUUAGCCAACAUUUUUGGUUGCCCGGUUGCUUCUUUCCCCCAGUCCUACCUCGGCCUUCCUCUAUCUACUCACGAUCUACGGCUCGCGGGGUUUCUCCGUUGGCUGCUAGAUAUGGGUGGUCCGAAGACCAGGACCUAG